GUGCCAGCAGCCGCGGUAAUACGUAGGAAGCAAGCGUUGUCCGGAUUUACUGGGCGUAAAGAGCUCGUAGGCGGUUUGCCAAGUCAAAAGUGAAAUCUCCAGGCUCAACCUGGAGCGUGCUUUCGAUACUGGUAUGACUUGAGUAUGGUAGAGGAGUGUGGAAUUCCUGGUGUAGCGGUGAAAUGCGCAGAUAUCAGGAGGAACACCUAUGGCGAAGGCAGCACUCUGGGCCAAAACUGACGCUGAGGAGCGAAAGCGUGGGGAGCGAACAGGAUUAGAUACCCUGGUAGUCCACGCCGUAAACGUUGGAUACUAGGUGUGGGGUUCGAUCAACGGACUCCGUGCCGAAGUUAACGCAUUAAGUAUCCCGCCUGGGGAGUACGGCCGCAAGGUUGAAACUCAAAUAAAUUGACGG
rnacentral:rRNA from 1 species